rnacentral:rRNA from 1 species
UCCGUAGGCGGGCCUGUAAGUCAGGGGUGAAAGCUUGUGGCUCAACCAUAAAAUUGCCUUUGAUACUGCAGGUCUUGAGUCAUGGUGGGUUGCCGGAACAUGUGGUGUAGCGGUGAAAUGCAUAGGUAUCACAUAGAACACCGAUCGCGAAGGCAGGUGACCAACCAUGUACUGACGCUGAUGGACGAAAGCGUGGGUAGCGAAC